UGGCGACAUCACAUUGAUAUACCGGUUCCCGUAUAAUCACCGAAGUUAAGCAACAUCGAGCCUGAUCAGUACCUAGAUGAGUGACCGUUUGGGAAUACCAGGUGCCGUAAG